rnacentral:sRNA from 1 species
CUGAUUGGGAUACUCUUCAAACUUAAUGAAAUCCCGAGUAAGCGCCCUUUUUCCAAUGGCGGGCCUCGACCGAAAGGUGUAUCUUCGGAUACCGGAGGAUUACAAAGGUGUGGGUGCCCUCAAAUCCUGUAUUUAUCGGAGUUUCAUCACAUCCCUUUGAUGUGGCUUC